rnacentral:rRNA from 2 species
UUGAUCCUGGCUCAGAACGAACGCUGGCGGCAGGCUUAACACAUGCAAGUCGAGCGCCCCGCAAGGGGAGCGGCAGACGGGUGAGUAACGCGUGGGAAUCUACCCAUCUCUACGGAACAACUCCGGGAAACUGGAGCUAAUACCGUAUACGUCCUUCGGGAGAAAGAUUUAUCGGAGAUGGAUGAGCCCGCGUUGGAUUAGCUAGUUGGUGGGGUAAUGGCCUACCAAGGCGACGAUCCAUAGCUGGUCUGAGAGGAUGAUCAGCCACACUGGGACUGAGACACGGCCCAGACUCCUACGGGAGGCAGCAGUGGGGAAUAUUGGACAAUGGGCGCAAGCCUGAUCCAGCCAUGCCGCGUGAGUGAUGAAGGCCCUAGGGUUGUAAAGCUCUUUCAACGGUGAAGAUAAUGACGGUAACCGUAGAAGAAGCCCCGG